rnacentral:rRNA from 1 species
UACGUAGGGUGCAAGGCGUUGUCCGGAAUUAUUGGGCGUAAAGAGCUCGUAGGCGGUUUGUCGCGUCUGCUGUGAAAACCCGAGGCUCAACCUCGGGCCUGCAGUGGGUACGGGCAGACUAGAGUGCGGUAGGGGAGAUUGGAAUUCCUGGUGUAGCGGUGGAAUGCGCAGAUAUCAGGAGGAACACCAAUGGCGAAGGCAGAUCUCUGGGCCGUAACUGACGCUGAGGAGCGAAAGCAUGGGGAGCGAACAGG